rnacentral:rRNA from 1 species
CCUACGGGAGGCAGCAGUGGGGAAUAUUGGACAAUGGGCGCAAGCCUGAUCCAGCCAUGCCGCGUGAGUGAUGAAGGCCCUAGGCUUGUAAAGCUCUUUCACCGGUGAAGAUAAUGACGGUAACCGGAGAAGAAGCCCCGGCUAACUUCGUGCCAGCAGCCGCGGUAAU